rnacentral:rRNA from 1 species
AGAGUUUGAUCCUGGCUCAGGACGAACGCUGGCGGCGUGCCUAACACAUGCAAGUCACGGGGGUCCGCAAGGGCAACCGGCGAACGGGUGCGUAACACGUGAGCAAUCUGCCGAUUUCUGGGGGAUAGCCGGUCCAACGACCGGGUAAUACCGCAUACGCUCAUUGGGGGGCAUUCCCCGAUGAGGAAACCUCCGGGGGAAAUCGAGGAGCUCGCGGCCUAUCAGCUAGUUGGUGCGGUAACGGCGCACCAAGGCGACGACGGGUAGCUGGUCUGAGAGGAUGGCCAGCCACAUUGGGACUGCGACACGGCCCAGACUCCUACGGGAGGCAGCAGUGGGGAAUAUUGCGCAAUGGACGAAAGUCUGACGCAGCGACGCCGCGUGUGGGAUGAAGCUUUUCGGAGUGUAAACCACUGUUGCUCGGGACGAACAUCCCUUUUCGAGGGGACUGACGUACCGAGUGA